CGGAGGGAUCAUUACUGAGUUUACGCUCUAUAACCCUUUGUGAACAUACCUAUAACUGUUGCUUCGGCGGGUAGGGUCUCCGUGACCCUCCCGGCCUCCCGCCCCCGGGCGGGUCGGCGCCCGCCGGAGGAUAACCAAACUCUGAUUUAACGACGUUUCUUCUGAGUGGUACAAGCAAAUAAUCAAAACUUUUAACAACGGAUCUCUUGGUUCUGGCAUCGAUGAAGAACGCAGCGAAAUGCGAUAAGUAAUGUGAAUUGCAGAAUUCAGUGAAUCAUCGAAUCUUUGAACGCACAUUGCGCCCGCCAGCAUUCUGGCGGGCAUGCCUGUUCGAGCGUCAUUUCAACCCUCAAGCUCUGCUUGGUGUUGGGGCCCUACAGCUGAUGUAGGCCCUCAAAGGUAGUGGCGGACCCUCCCGGAGCCUCCUUUGCGUAGUAACUUUACGUCUCGCACUGGGAUCCGGAGGGACUCUUGCCGUAAAACCCCCAAUUUUCCAAAGGUUGACCUCGGAUCAGGUAGGAAUACCCGCUGAACUUAAGCAUAUCAAUAA
rnacentral:rRNA from 1 species